rnacentral:rRNA from 1 species
UACGUAGGGGGCAAGCGUUGUCCGGAAUUAUUGGGCGUAAAGCGCGCGCAGGCGGCAUCGUAAGCCCAGUGUUUAAGCUCGGAGCUCAACUCCGAUACGCACUGGGAACUGCGAGGCUUGAGUGCAGAAGAGGAAAGUGGAAUUCCACGUGUAGCGGUGAAAUGCGUAGAGAUGUGGAGGAACACCGAUGGCGAAGGCAGCCCCCCUGGGUCAACACUGACGCUCAUGCACGAAAGCGUGGGGAGCAACAGG